GGGGCUGUAGCUCAGCUGGGAGAGCGCCUCAAUGGCAUUGAGGAGGUCGUGGGUUCAAGUCCCACCAGCUCCA
rnacentral:tRNA from 1 species